rnacentral:rRNA from 1 species
UACAGAGGUGGCAAGCGUUGCUCGGAAUUACUGGGCGUAAAGGGCGCGUAGGCGGUCUUUUAAGUCUUGUGUGAAAUCCCUCGGCUCAACUGAGGAACUGCACGGGAUACUGGAAGACUUGAGUUCGGGAGAGGGAAGCGGAAUUCCGGGUGUAGCGGUGAAAUGCGUAGAUAUCCGGAGGAACACCGGUGGCGAAGGCGGCUUCCUGGACCGAUUACUGACGCUGAGGCGCGAAAGCUAGGGGAGCAAACGGG